UCCCAUUUACAGACUGUUUCAAAGUUUAGAGUACUAAAAUGGUUUCUCCAUUUCCCUAAAAAGUUUCGGUGCCAGAGAAUCGGAUGCGACGCCGUGUUCAUGGAGGACGAUAACCCUCAAGGUUCAUGUAGAUACCACGAUUCUAUUUGGAAAAGUUGGUUGGGAGGAUUUUGAUUAUGGAAGAUAGCAUCUAUGACAUCGUUUUGCUGCGUGGGCAUAUCCAUUUCAUCAGGGUGUAAGUUGAAUUUUCAUCCAUCUAAUUAGAGAUUCCCUUUCUCCUUUUCUGAUUACACUAUGUACUAUCAUCCUUGACAUAUUUCCAGAAUUUUAACAUGAACAUUGUAUUUUCCAGCCUCUAUUUCAUGAUGGGAUCAAAGAAUAUGUCAUGAUUUCAGCUUAUUUCUAGAAAUUCCAGGGUUUGCACUGAAGUUUCUUUUUAAGCCCAUUGCCCCAAUGUGAGAAUUUUAAUGUUGGUACGUUAGAUUAAUGUGUAUUAGAAAUAGGCCAUAAACUAAAUCACAACACAGGAAUUCUGUUACUGAUAAACUGCUUGAUACAUGGCACCACAACAUGAUUUUGAGUUCCAAUAUGAUCAUGUACGUUUUGAAAUUAUUGCAUUCGAUCCUAUUAACACUAGAGUCUAUUUGUUUUUAUUGAUACUUGUUUGAAGAAAAGAAAAGAUGGAAAUCAAAGGCAGCAAAGGAAAAAUGAGAUGGAAAUCACAUACGUAACAAAGAACAAGAUUUAUGUGGUUCAACAAAUUAUCAAGAAAAGAAAAGAUUACAACUAUCAACGGGUUACCAAGAGGUAUUUAACACUGACGAAAUACACUCACUCUUUGGCCCUCACUAGCUUCACUCUAUUUUUCCUCUCUCUUUUUUCUUCACUCUAAUUUUUUUUUUUUCAUUCGGCUCUUCACACCACAUUCUGUUUUACCAUGCCUAUAUUUAUAGGCGGCUAUUACCGUGUUUAGCCAAAGGCACAUGUAACGUGCCAACACAAUCCUCUUGUUACAACCAAUCACAACACAUUCUUUCUUUUCCUUUCACUUCGGCACCUUUUACAACUCACUGGAUUUACUGCAUUCACAGUUUCACACUGCACCUCAUUUUUUUUUUUUUUUUUUCCUAAUACAAUGCUGCCACUACAUUUAAUGCACACUCUUCCAGUCUUCCUUUCACCAUUCAUCAUUCACCAUUCACCAGCACACGCAUCACUCGUCCAAUUAAUUUGAGCAAACUCUGCAAGAACUUUAGGUGCGCUUGGUGACUCGGGAACAUUAAGGUUCAACUCAAUAGCAACUUCAACGAAGAAUGAUAUUGAUUUCUCUGAUAAUUCCAUAUGGCAAUUUUAAAAUGUCAAGUGAAGUAGACAAUUAUGCCAUCAUCAUUAUCCUUGUCUUAAUCCCAUAUGGAAUGGCUGGUCGCAUGAAUUCUCUUUUUUCAAUUUUUUAUUACAAGCCUCUCUUACAACUACAAUAUUUAACUUUUUGAAAUCAUUUUUAAUGAUUUCAUCCCAUGUUAUAUGUAAAUUAGUCUCCCUCUUCUUACCGGAGCAUCUAUAGAUUUUCUUUGGUUAUGUCCAUACUACCUCAGUCUAUUUUCUCACAUCUUAUCACUAAUAGGCGUCACUCCUAAUUUCUCCUCACAUUGUGAUUAUUAACCUUUCUCUUGUAGUCACCCCUAUCGUCUAUCUUAACAUCCCCAUUUUUUCCCCUAGUUAACAUCCCCAUUUUCACUACAUGAAUUUGUUGUUCUUGUUUCUUUUUAAAGCCCAACACUCUGAAUCAUAUAAAAUAGUUGUCCUAAUAAAUGUUCGAUAAAAAUUUUCUUUUAAUAUGUGUUAUUCUUUUAUUGCAUAAAAUUUCACUAGCAUGUCUUCAUUUUGUCCAAUCUGUUCCAAUUCUACUAAUUAUAUCACCAUCAAUCUCACAAUUCUUUUGUAUUUUUGACCCUAACUAUCGAAAAUGGUUAUUUUGGAUAAUCUUUUACUUUUGAAGCAUGAUUAUUAUGUCACCAAAAUCCGGCUCUUUAGUAAAUUUACAUUCCAUAUAUUCAGUUUUAAUAAUUAACUUGAUAGUAAUGCUUCAUAAUGGAGCGAUUUAAUGUAAGUUUGUUUGAAGUGUUAGGUCGGGCAUGCUUCCUGAACACAAUAAAUAAUUAAUGUCAGAGAUCUUUGUUGGAUCUGUUCCUAACACUCUUUAGUAAUUCUUUGAGAAGUGCAUUCCUCUUUUCUUUUUUAUGAUGUCUGCUUGCAUCAAUUUCAAAUGAGGAAAAGAAAAUCAUGGUUUGCCCUUGGUGCGAAAUUUCUUCUGCCUGUUUCUACGGUGAAUAACCAUGGUACUGAUAUAUGUGCUUGUUACCUCUUGCAUGAAUAGGUGGAUUAAAUUGUCAAGUGUUUCUUUCUUUCAUUGAUUAUCAAUAUUUUCAAGGGUGAAUUACAUUGACACCCCCUCAUGUUUGGCCAAAUAUCAUACCGAAACACCUUUAAAAAAUAACUAUCACUCACAUUACAAAAGUUUGAUCCGUUUUUCACUCCUACCCCAAAAGUUACUUUUCAGAUGUGUCAAACCACUUUGUACAUGUAAAAAGACAUUGUUAGCCGUUUGACUUUGAUUUGACUCAUUAUAAUGUUUUUUUGAUGAUAAAAUGACAUUUCUACCCUUCAUUGUUCCAUAAAAUCAGUUACUAGCCGUUGCAUUUUUGUAGAAGGGUUUGGUUUUUAUAUAGAUUUGUCUCAUUGGGUGUCUUUUUUGUGUCUCAUAUCUGCCUGAAUUCGAAGUUUGGCUUUAGAGAAAAUCGAAGACAAUGUUGCCUCAAAAGCAAGCAGAGGAAGCUAUUGUCCCCUACAUUGAGAUAGAGCAUGAGGGAAGAAGAGAAGCAGCAAGAUCAUCACUCCAUUUCCAGUGUCAAGAAAAUACUCUGGCCUGGUGGGUCUGCUUGGGACGCUUGGUUCAGUUGUCCUUCUAAUCAAGUAAUAUAUAUUUUUCAUGUGCUUCGAAUUCAAGGUCCUCCUAAAUAGAUCGUUUGGUGCAAAUCCAAAUCCAACCUUAUCAAAACAAGUGGCAGCAUGUACAAAUUACGUACUUUAAUAUUCCAAAGAAAAAGAUUGAGGGUUUUUACGGCUCAGA